UCUAACGUAUGGUGUGGCUGAGGACAUUACAUGCAUAAUGUCCACAAAGAUUUUAAAAGGAUGUAAUGCCUUAUCAUUGAGUAAUUAACCAUUUAGUAACGUAUGGUGCAUGUGGCUGAUCAUAUCCACCAUCUGUCAAGCUCUUCCUCUCCCUCUAUCGUGUAACUUUCACUCUCUCAUCCUCUCUUUCACAUGUUAUCACCUCUGCGGCCCUCCCUCCAGCUUCUCCCCGCUCCAACAAAAGAGCUAUACAAGUUUUGUAAUAUAAUGGCGAGCACCAAUCCUACAUUCCAAUGGCCAUCAAGGCCAUCGCCGCUUACAUACGACCUUGAUGCGCAUAAGACUAGCUUGAAUCGACCACCAUCACCACAACAAUAUGAUGAGAAUGACAAUCAGGAAUAUUCAGAUGACAGAAAAUUAGAUUUUACUAUCAAACUUUAAUGAUAUGUAUUUAACUUUGAGAGACUUUAUAUUAAACUUUAAAUGGUUUGUAAUAGUAUGUAGGCAUUAGACAUUGAAUGAUAGUAUAUUUUUGUGAAAAA